rnacentral:lncRNA from 1 species
GUACUGCAUGCAGAAUGCCUGCAAGGACGCCCUGCUGGUAGGUGUUCCAGCUGGAAGCAACCCCUUCCGGGAGCCCAGAUCCUGUGCAUUAUUCUAAAGGCUGGUGAGUAAUGAUACACCACCAUGCUGUCUAGGGGCUGUGGCAUUAUCCCAGGGCUCCCCAAGGGCUUGGGCAACAGAGUUUUCAAUAUCUACUAUUGUUGGGGGAAUUAAAGUAAGAAUAGCAAAAUGCACAACUUUCCCUGAAGAUGAGUCUAGGUGGCUGCCUGUGGAAUACAUCUCAUUAAGAGAGUCUCAAUCCUCUUUGGUACUAACUCCUGAGAUGUUAAUAUCCUUCUGUACUUGAGCUCUUUAACCGAGUUGGCUGAUAGUAAUUUCAUGACCUUAAUCCCACCAUCUCUGUCCUGACACCAUCCCAGAGUUGUGAUUUGCUGCUCGGUGCUAUCAGCUGACUUGCUGCUCUGGGGACUAAGGACUCCGCAGUGGAGUCUUGUUCCUACCGCCAGCUGUGAUUUCUUUCCUGGAGGCUUUCACAAUAGAUCUGUUUUAAUGGAAGAAGAAAUGUAGCUAUUAGGGAAAAGUGUGGGUAGAGUUAAAAGAACUUUAAAAAUUGAUUACUGAAAUGAAAACACCUCUCUUUGGUGGCAUAUUAGAAAUUUCAUAGGUUCUAAUGUGUUGUAUGGGGUUUCAUUCACAUUUUCACUUGUUUUUUUUCCUUUUUUUGGAAGAGGUCAAGGUAUAGAUUACUAGAGUCUUUUGGGGCCAACACAUUUCAAAUUAUGUGUUCUGAGGGUUUUCAUACAGUGAGUAAUCAUCUUAGGUCUUUUUUCAUAUAUUUGCAAAAGGAAAUUAUUCAUAAUAACAAGAAGGAAGUAAUCAUACUGUCGGAUACUAUUGUACCUCUUGAUGGAAAAUGUUCACAUUUAUGGUAUUAAAAUAAUAGUCUUAUGCUGGCAUAGCAUUUUCCUUUUUAUAAAGCACUUUAAUGGAUGUUACUCAUUCAAUGGUGUGGCUUGGAUGUUUUUUAUAUUGUUACUUUGUACUUUGAGAACACUAAAGUGACCUGAAAUGAUGACUAGUUAAUUUUAUGUAUAAAUCUUACUAAAGUGAAAACCUACCCAAUUCUGUUUCCAGUAGGGAAGAAGUUCACUGAGGAAUGCUUUUAAGCGCAAAGUGAUGAAUAACUGCCUCCAAGUCUCAAGAAAACACUUUUCUCCAGCCAAAUGACUUUUAGAUAUUUCAUACCUUUCCUAUGGCCUGGUCCUAUAGCCAAAAUUUUAUAGAAAUUGAUGAAUUUCUACUCAGAUAAGGAAACUGGGUGAAAGAGUAGACUUUAAAUAAUAAUGGCCUGAUUCUUUUGGUAAAGUUCUUUUAUAUUUAAGACAAACAAAAAUGUUACCACCAAAUACACCUCUUUAAUAAGCGAAUUACUGGUGUUUCUAUACCUGGAAAUUAUGUUUGUUUUAUUUACUAGAUGUUUACAUUUUGGGAAGGAAAACAUUUUUGUUUGUUAAAAAAACGAAUAUUUGUAAUUUGUUGUUCCUAAGAUUUUUUAUACCACAAAACUUGUUCUUUUCUUGUGAAUUUACAGUUUCUAAAUAAAGACAAGCAAGUAUAAAACUGGGGGAAGAAUAGGCUUUAUCAAUCAAAUGAUGUCUUGAUUUUCCUAAAUGAGAAGAUUGUUUUAUUUGUAACACUAAACAUGGGAGCUAUUUCUUAGCAAACUUGUUUGGAAAGAUUCAUGUUGUGUUGUGUAUGAGAUUGCCCCAUCCUGUGUAUGAACCAGAUUUGGUCUUUGUCUUCUUAAGUUCCUCUAUUUUAUAGUUGUGGUUGUAUUUAAAAAAACAAAACAAAAAUACAUUAGGUCUUUAAAAAAAAUGUUUAAAUGUGAUCUUCAGAACAUUGCAAAUGAUUAAAAACAAAAUAAUGUGAAAAUAUUACAGCCUAAAUGAAUUCUUACUGUCACAAGUAGGUUUUACUUUGAUGAUGUGCCUUUGAUUUAAUUUGGGACACUUUUAAAAGGAUACUUGAUUUGUGUUUGUAAUUAUCUUUGAUGAGCUUGGAAAUAAAAUUUUUUGCUUAAUUCAUCGUUUUCUAUGGCAGCAACAUUUUGUGUCUGAUUUUGUUUGUUUUAAGGCUUCAUGGACUUUUGUUGCCUUGUGAAAUUGAGUGCUGGAAGCGGGAAGUGAAAUUUUUGUUUAUAAGUCCUUGUAGAACUUUGUUUAAAAAAAAAGAUGUAUGUAUAACUUGCUGAGAAAUCUCAAUUUCUGGCAACAUUUACACUUAGAUUUAAUUUUUUUUUUUUUUUUUUUGGAGAGAGCACAAGCAGAGGAGAGGGAAAGAGAAUUUCCAGCAGGCUUCAUGCUCAUCCUAUAACAUGGAGCCUGAUGUAGGGCUCAAUCUCAGGACCGGGAGACCAUGACCUCAGCUGAAAUCGAGAGUCA